UACACAAAAUGUCUAUGUAUAGACAACACGAAUAAAAGAUCUCCAAGGUUUAUAAAAAAAAAAAAAAAAAAGUAAUGCAGUGGUACACUGGCAAUGAGGCCUCUCCAUGUUGGACGAGAAGCCUAUAAAAGCUUUUGUGAGGAAACAAAAAUGCUUUUGACAGCCUGUCAACAAAUCUUGCCAUUAAAUAUUUAUUUUAGUGUAAGCUGUAUUAGUUUUUUUUUUUUUUUUUUUUUAAAGACAUUUUGUAAAAAUAUACAUUAUUUUUUAAUUAGGAAAAAACAGAUACAUAUAUGGGCUCUUUCUAUAUACCACAUUUCUUCACAUUUUAUUAAAGUGACAAAUUUCAAAAACCUUUUGAAAAACUAAAAACAAAACUACCCUGUAAUCACGCAAUGCUAAGACAGCACUUAUACAGUAUUUAAUAUGUUUUUAAACAUUGCUAAAAUGGAUGCGAUACCUCUUGUUACAUUGAAUAAUUGUAUACAUCUUAUAUAUAUGAUGUGUACACACACACACACACACACACACACACACAAUGUCCGAUCACACGAUGAUUGGCCUGUUAAGCGGUUGACGUCAGUAAAUUACAAAAGGGAGUACGGCUUCUUAACAGACCACAACUGCACUGCACACAAUAGCUGUGUAUACAUUCCAUUUCAUAUUUCUGUUAUGAAAUAUCAUUUAUUCAUAAGUUUAUAAAGCAACAGAUGUGUGAAGCCCAACUGUUAAACUUUCCAGCUCAUCUUUGGUGGUAGUGGUGUGAUGAUCCCUAAGACAAUAAAGAACAGCUGUUAGACACUGGUCUGUGUUUGUCUUGUUGAGAUGAUGAUGCAUGUUUCUGAGCUGGUGACUGGCUGGGCAAUGAAAAGCAGCAGCCAAUGAAUAAGCAGAGAGUUACUCUGCGAGAACUAUAGCACACCAGGACCACGAGCAGCAUCAGGAUGUGACUCUAGUCUCGCUCUACCUGAUCGAGUAGAUAUGAUCAGAAACAUAGAAAUCACAAUCAGUCAGUAAGAAGAACACUCACGGUGACAGCACUGUUGAGACGCUCGACGCUCCUCCUGACCCAAACACCAUUAAUGACCACAUUCACCAGCAUCUGCAGGAGCUUUGAGAGACAACCACACAUUACACUUCAACCACCGCUGAGCAAGUCUACCACAGAACCAACAACAGUCUGAUAAAGAGGGGUUGUUUCUGAGCUGGUGAUUGGCUGAGCAACAGAAAGCAGCAGCCAAUGAAUAAGCAGAGAGUUACUCUGCGAGAACUAUAGCACACCAGGACCACGAGCAGCAUCAGGAUGUGACUCUAGCCUCGCUCUUCACACGUUAUUUUCAUAAAAGCAGGAAUAAUUUAGAUCUGAAUAAUGAACAGCAGCAGCAGUACCUUCAGCGCGUGAACUCUCCUGCGGUCACCAGCUGCUGUUGUCAGAGUUUGUCAGGAGCAGAAGAAUGGAGAAAAGAGCUGGCACACUUCUCUUUCAGAAUCACAUCACUGUGGAAGAAGAGAUAACUAUUUGAUCCAAUGAAGAAAUGAGAGUCACUACAAAUGAAGUUCAGGAUUAUACAGAGAAACUCAACUGUCCUAACCAGGUGUGACAAAUGUUGAUACAAAAAAAAUAAACCCAUCUCUUCUAGUAAUCUGAAGACUUUAAUCACCUGAAACCACAACAAGCAGCAAGAAGUGUUGGGUAUCAUUUGAAUUAUCAAAUUCUGAUUCUGCUUAUUGAUUCAGAUUCUUAAUUCCCAGUUUUGUCAAACAUUUAGAUAUCAAACACCAUUUGUGUGCAAAAAAGAGCUGCACGAUUCCAGGGUUUUUUUUGUUUUGUUUUUUUUAAAUGGAGUUUGGGUUUCUCAUGACUAAAGAAAAAAAUAAAAAAUAGAUAAUGUAAUUUAUGAAUGAAUGAUUCAGAGACUCAAUCUAGGUUUACUUGUUUC
ensembl:lncRNA